CAGGGAGAUGCAGUUUCGACCAAUCACAUCGGCGGAUGGAGAGCCCCGGUCAUCCGCCAAUCAGGGAGCAGGAUGCUGUGUAACCUCGCUACCUGUUACUAUAUAGAAGGGUCGAGAUCUGGCGGUUUUAGAGACGCUGGAAGACUUAGUCUGGUUGGAACUGACGCCGUUUUUUUCGUCUAAAAUCGAUAUUUUUUGUUCUUUCGUCAUAAGGCAGCCCCACAUAUCUGCAAGACAGCCGCCAGCACCGACAGUCGUUGCAAGCAAUUUUCACGCAAAAUCGACAAGCAAAGACACCGCUCCUCGGGACGUGCGAAUUAAGACUCCGCCUUCCCUCGCCCGCCCCUUCGCCGCCUGCCGCCGCGUCCGGAAUGUCUCUCGCAAGCGUCCUUGGGGCAGUGAUCAUCGGGGCGGCGUUGGUAACGCUGUCGACGGGUCAUGCAGUCAGGCACA